rnacentral:rRNA from 1 species
AUUGAACGCUGGCGGCAUGCCUUACACAUGCAAGUCGAACGGUAACGCGGGGCAACCUGGCGACGAGUGGCGAACGGGUGAGUAACGCAUCGGAACGUGCCCAGUAGUGGGGGAUAGCCCGGCGAAAGCCGGAUUAAUACCGCAUACGACCUACGGGUGAAAGGGGGGAAUCGCAAGAGCUCUCGCUAUUGGAGCGGCCGAUGUCAGAGUAGGUAGUUGGUGGGGUAAAGGCCUACCAAGCCUGCGAUCUGUAGCUGGUCUGAGAGGACGACCAGCCACACUGGGACUGAGACACGGCCCAGACUCCUACGGGAGGCAGCAGUGGGGAAUUUUGGACAAUGGGCGCAAGCCUGAUCCAGCCAUGCCGCGUGCGGGAAGAAGGCCUUCGGGUUGUAAACCGCUUUUGUCAGGGAAGAAAAGCCUUGGGUUAAUACCCUGGGGUGAUGACGGUACCUGAAGAAUAAGCACCGGCUAACUACGUGCCAGCCGCCGCCGUAA